GGGGGGAGUGCCGGAUCCUGGGCUGUGUCCCCCGGUGCCUUGGGCUCCGGGGUCUGUGCUGCUGGAAUUGGGCUUCCAGGGACGCCACAGCCCCCU
rnacentral:pre_miRNA from 1 species